rnacentral:rRNA from 1 species
UGGGGGAUAUUGCACAAUGGAGGAAACUCUGAUGCAGCGAUGCCGCGUGAGGGAAGAAGGUUUUCGGAUUGUAAACCUCUGUGGAGGGGGACGACAAUGACGGUAGCCGAGGAGGAAGCUCCGGCUAACUACGUGCCAGCAGCCGCGGUAAUACGUAGGGAGCGAGCGUUGUCCGGAUUUACUGGGUGUAAAGGGUGCGUAGGCGGAAGAGCAAGUCAGUAGUGAAAUCCAUGGGCUUAACCCGUGAACUGCUAUUGAAACUGUUCUUCUUGAGUGAAGUAGAGGUAGGCGGAAUUCCCGGUGUAGCGGUGAAAUGCGUAGAGAUCGGGAGGAACACCAGUGGCGAAGGCGGCCUACUGGGCUUUAACUGACGCUGAGGCACGAAAGCAUGGGUAGCAAACAGGAUUAGAUACCCUGGUAGU